UAGAAUGAAGCUCGCCGGAUUGAGUGUUUAGCUGUUAACUAAAGUAUUACGGGAUCAAGGCCCGUCUUUCUAG
rnacentral:tRNA from 1 species